GGCUCAGGACGAACGCUGGCGGCGUGCCUAACACAUGCAAGUCGAGCGAGGAGAUCCUUCGGGAUGAUCCUAGCGGCGGACGGGUGAGUAACACGUGGGCAACCUGCCUCAUAGAGAGGAAUAGCCUUCCGAAAGGGAGAUUAAUACCUCAUAACAUUGCAGUUUCGCAUGGAACAGCAAUUAAAGGAGUAAUCCGCUAUGAGAUGGGCCCGCGGCGCAUUAGCUAGUUGGUGAGGUAAUGGCUCACCAAGGCGACGAUGCGUAGCCGACCUGAGAGGGUGAUCGGCCACAUUGGGACUGAGACACGGCCCAGACUCCUACGGGAGGCAGCAGUGGGGAAUAUUGCACAAUGGGGGAAACCCUGAUGCCAGCAACGCCGCGUGAGUGAUGACGGCCUUCGGGUUGUAAAGCUCUGUCUUCAGGGACGAUAAUGGCGGUACCUGAGGAGGAAGCCACGGCUAACUACGUGCCAGCCGCCGC
rnacentral:rRNA from 1 species